AAAGGCUUUAGAAAACAAAGAAGAAAAACAAAAAAACAAAAGGAGAAAGCUUACCAGCGCACUCUACUGCCGCGGCCCAGCAGACAGGCCGGCCCAAUUCCUGGCCAGGCCGCACGCCCCUCCCCUUCUCCCUCUUUUCUCUCUGACCAUCAGGCUCCACCACCUCUUUCACUGACGCCCUGGCCCACCUGGCGGCGCCCGUCGUCUUCCUCUCCCCA
rnacentral:lncRNA from 1 species